CCCUUUCAGUCGGCCAUCAUCACACAGAACUGUCCCAGAGAGGUCGGGUGUGGUCUGUCGGGUGAAAUACUGCAACAGCCUGCCGGACAUCCCGUUUGACCCCAAAUUCAUCACUUACCCAUUUGAUCAGCACAGGUUUGUACAGUACAAAGCUACAUCACUGGAGAAGCCGCA